GUGUCAGCAGCCGCGGUAAUACGGAGGAUGCAAGCGUUAUCCGGAAUCAUUGGGCGUAAAGCGUUCGUAGGUGGCUGUGCAAGUCUGCCGUUAAAGACAGUGGCUUAACCACUGAAAGGCGGUGGAAACUGCGCAGCUAGAGUGCGGUAGGGGUAGAGGGAAUUCCCGGUGUAGCGGUGAAAUGCGUAGAGAUCGGGAAGAACACCAGUGGCGAAAGCGCUCUACUGGGCCUGCACUGACACUGAGGGACGAAAGCUAGGGGAGCGAAUGGGAUUAGAUACCCCAGUAGUCC
rnacentral:rRNA from 1 species